CACCAUGAGCGUCCCGGCCUUCAUCGACAUCAGUGAGGAAGAUCAGGCUGCUGAGCUUCGUGCUUAUCUGAAAUCUAAAGGAGCUGAGAUUUCAGAAGAGAACUCGGAAGGUGGACUUCAUGUUGAUUUAGCUCAAAUUAUUGAAGCCUGUGAUGUGUGUCUGAAGGAGGAUGAUAAAGAUGUUGAAAGUGUGAUGAACAGUGUGGUAUCCCUACUCUUGAUCCUGGAACCAGACAAGCAAGAAGCUUUGAUUGAAAGCCUAUGUGAAAAGCUGGUCAAAUUUCGCGAAGGUGAACGCCCGUCUCUGAGACUGCAGUUGUUAAGCAACCUUUUCCACGGGAUGGAUAAGAAUACUCCUGUAAGAUACACAGUGUAUUGCAGCCUUAUUAAAGUGGCAGCAUCUUGUGGGGCCAUCCAGUACAUCCCAACUGAGCUGGAUCAAGUUAGAAAAUGGAUUUCUGACUGGAAUCUCACCACUGAAAAAAAGCACACCCUUUUAAGACUACUUUAUGAGGCACUUGUGGAUUGUAAGAAGAGUGAUGCUGCUUCAAAAGUCAUGGUGGAAUUGCUCGGAAGUUACACAGAGGACAAUGCUUCCCAGGCUCGAGUUGAUGCCCACAGGUAAUGUUAAACGUUACUCUGAUGAGGGUUUGACAGCGAUGUAGAGGUAAGCUACAAUAUUAAAUUAAGUAACUGAAAUCAUGUUUGCAACUACCAGUGAUCCAGAGCCAUUUGAUAGUGUGUAUUUCCUGGUGAUUCUAAUGUAGAU
rnacentral:sRNA from 1 species